rnacentral:rRNA from 1 species
AUACGGAGGGUGCGAGCGUUAAUCGGAAUUACUGGGCGUAAAGCGCGCGUAGGCGGUUUGGUAAGUCAGAUGUGAAAGCCCCGGGCUCAACCUGGGAACUGCAUUUGAUACUGCCGGACUGGAGUAUGGUAGAGGGAAGUGGAAUUCCACAUGUAGCGGUGAAAUGCGUAGAUAUGUGGAGGAACACCAGUGGCGAAGGCGGCUUCCUGGACCAAUACUGACGCUGAGGUGCGAAAGCGUGGGGAGCAAACAGGAUUAGAAACCCGAGUAGUCC